GACGAACCGUGCGAACGUUAUUCGGAAUCAUUGGGCUUAAAGGGCGCGUAGGCGGCGGUGUAAGUUGGAAGUGAAAUCCCAUCGGCUCAACCGUGGAAUUGCUCCCAGUACUGCAUCGCUCGAGGGGGAUAGGGGUCUGCGGAACUACCGGUGGAGCGAUGAAAUGUGUUGAUAUCGGUGGGAACGCCAGUGGCGAAAGCGGCAGACUGGACCCUUCCUGACGCUGAGGCGCGAAAGCUAGGGGAGCAAACGGG
rnacentral:rRNA from 1 species